rnacentral:rRNA from 1 species
UGGGGGAUUUUGCACAAUGGGCGCAAGCCUGAUGCAGCGACGCCGCGUGAGGGAUGAAGGCCUUCGGGUUGUAAACCUCUUUCGCUGGGUUGAAAGGCCAUGCUUUGGGUGUGGUUGAGUUGAACUGGUAAAGAAGUACCGGCUAACUACGUGCCAGCAGCCGCGGUAAUACGUAGGGUACUAGCGUUGUCCGGAUUUAUUGGGCGUAAAGGGCUUGUAGGUGGUUUGUCGCGUCUGUCGUGAAAUCCUGUGGCUUAACCAUGGGCUUGCGGUGGGUACGGGCAGGCUCGAGUUCGGUAGGGGAGACUGGAAUUCCUGGGGUAGCGGUGGAAUGCGCAGAUCUCAGGAGGACCACCGGUGGCGAAGGCGGGUCUCUGGGCCGUUACUGACACUGAGGAGCGAAAGCGUGGGGAGCGAACAGG